UUUUGAGAUUGCAAGCAUGUGGAAUUUAGGGUGGGAAACAAGUGCAUCAGCCAGUCCUGGGAUAUUCCCCCUGGGAGAAGCUGCCUGGUCUUUAUAAAAGGAGUCUCCAUCACAGUGCUGUCAUUGUUGUGACGGUCAUAAGUCUUCUUUGAAGCCUCAGAUUCCUUGAGACCCAAGAAGGAUGUCUCACCACCAGCAUCCACAUCCUCAUCCACAUCCACACCAGCAUCCGCAUCAGCAUCAUCAUCAGUGCAAGGAGCCCUGCCAUCCACCUCCAAAAGUGUGCCCACCGAAGUGCCAUGAGCCUUGCCCAUCCCAUCCAUGCCCACCUCCAGUGAGCCAGCAGAAAUGCCCUCCUGGGCUGCCAUGCCCACCAUGCGAGCAGAAGUGUCCACCCAAGUGGAAGUAACAGCACCAGAUUUCAUCUGGACCAAGAAACAACAUGAUCCAGGCUCUUCCAUUUCCUCCCUUCGGCCGUGGUGACGGAGUGCAUCUUCCUUAAUCUCCCUCCUGGACUGACAGCUGACAGAGAAAAGGCUUGGUUCCUGAAGCUGACACCAUGUUGGUGGAAGAAGAGCAGCAGGUUCAUCGCUUGAUCUCUCUUUGCCAUCUGUGUGUCUGUAUCCAUGUUGCGAAAUCUACCCCCUGAGCAAAUAGUGUGUGUAUUCCUUUGCUUCUCCAAUAAAGCAUAUUCAUAGCCCUUAA